rnacentral:rRNA from 1 species
AGUGAACGCUGGCGGUAGGCCUAACACAUGCAAGUCGAACGGCAGCACAGUAAGAGCUUGCUCUUACGGGUGGCGAGUGGCGGACGGGUGAGGAAUACAUCGGAAUCUACUUUUUCGUGGGGGAUAACGUAGGGAAACUUACGCUAAUACCGCAUACGACCUACGGGUGAAAGCAGGGGAUCUUCGGACCUUGCGCGAUUGAAUGAGCCGAUGUCGGAUUAGCUAGUUGGCGGGGUAAAGGCCCACCAAGGCGACGAUCCGUAGCUGGUCUGAGAGGAUGAUAAGCGACACUGGAAAAGAGACACGGGCCAGACUCUUACACGAGGCGGAGGUGGGGAAUAUAGGAGAAAAGGCGCAAGAGUGAGAUAGACAUAUAGCGUGGGUGAAGAAGGCGUUCGGGUUGUAAAGACCUUUUGUUGGGAAAGAAAAGAAGAAGGUGAAAAAACCGCGGUGCUGACGGUACAAAAAGAAUAAGAACAGGCUAAAUCCGUG